UUAUUCUCUAGGAUAGACCCGAGGUAUUUCACUGACGUUUUUGUACUGACCACAGCAUUUUUAAUAUGACCCUUAAUUCCGAACAUCUUUUCAGUCUGUAUUUUGAACCGAACAAGAUGGCCUCUGUCUUACCAACAUGUAAAGACAGCAUAUUAUCAAUCAGCCAGUUGUUUACAGAGGAUAGUUCUGAACUCAGGGUACUCUCUAGGAUAGAUUGAUACUUAUGAGACAUUAAAAGUGCUGCGUCAUCGGCAUACAGAAAUAGAUCACAUGAAUAGGAAUCUACCAUAUCAUUAAUAUAGGUUAAAAAUAAGGAUGGUCCAAGAAUACUUCCUUGUGGUACGCCGCAUUCUACUACACAAGGAUCCGAAAGCGUUCUCCCCAGGGUCACCAAUUGUUCCCUCCCUGAUAGGUAGGACCUAAACCACCUACAGGUUGAGUUGUCUGCUCCCAUGGCCUCAAGUUUAGCUAUCAAUCUGUCAUGAUUUACCGUGUCGAAAGCCUUGUGAAAUCCAAUAACACCAUUCCGCAGAGAUUUCCACUAUCUAUUUCCCUGCGUAUGGUAUAAAGUAAGCAUGCUUCGGUAGAAUAUGACUUCCUAAAACCAGAUUGGAAUUUAUACAUGAAAUUAUUUUAUUCAUGUAUUCAUUAAAUUGAUCAUUCACUAAUUUUUCAAAAAAUUUUGAGACUGUACAUAGAAUGGAAACCGGAUCGUGGCUGUUCCCUUUUUUGAAAAUGGGAACCACUUUUGUCAAUGUACACCCUAUGACCAGUAUUGUGUUUCAAGCUGUCAGACACAAUUCUUUAAUAAAAUACUUUGAAGAGAAUUUUACAUCUCAACUGUCUCUGAUUCUCCUGAAGAAAAUCCACAACAAUGUGAACAAAUGUAACCUUAUCAGUGCACUGCGUCAAACAUCAUAGGAAAGAGCACCUGUGUCCCUAACCUGCAGGUUGUAGCACAUAAGUGUGUAAGGAGAGAUAUUACAGACAGACACAAAGACUGAUCACAUGAUCAGAUAUGAAGUCUGAUCACAGCUCUGUCUCGUAUCACAGCUUAGACACAGAGUGUGGGUCUGAUCACCGGCCGGCACCAUCGCCACAAGCGUUCUGGCUGUUCAUCUGCUGGUGCUGGUCACGCUCUUCUACUGGAGAAAUUAAAACAAAUAUGAGGAAGAUCCCAAUGAGAUCAGGUGACUCUUCAUCAUCAAAAUCAACUUGAUUGCAUUUGCCAGAUUUGUUUCUGAAAUAAACUCAAAUGACAUCUUGUUAAUUUCAAUGAUCUGAGUCAAUUCCUCAGCUUACCAACGAAUGAAGAAGAACUUGAUAUUACAGAAAAUAUCUGUCAACAACUCGGCAGUGACAAAUUUUUGCAUUUUUUAACAACAAAAUCAAUACUCUUACACAAAAAAUCAUGCAACUGCCUGCUAUGCCAUUACAUCAGAGAGCACACAGUUCACCCAAAGAUCAACAUCAGUUAUUUAAUACAAAAACUAAUACAAUAAUAAUAAUAAUAACAACAUUUUGAUUAAAUUAUUUUCCAAUCUGUUGCAUAUACUGUAAAUGUUCUAUCGUUUGAGAGUAAAACCAAGUAAUACUGUCCUCUAAAUGAUAAUAUAAGUGUGUUCCUGCAAGUUCCUGUCUCAUCUUAAUAUGAAAGAAAUAAGCAAGGUAACUGUAACCCUGGUACCUUCUGUUUCAUUGUUGAUGGCCAUUUGUUUAUGUUUGGACCAAGGGUCUGAGUCAAAUGUGAAUGGUAAGCCUAAGGUGUGAACCCAUUUCUAUGAUAAUGAAAUGGUCCAAGUGAAGUAGUGGGUUAGAUGGUAAUGUUGAUGGGAUAAAGGGUUGGUAAAACUGAAUGAUUGGGAGUGGCAGGGUUACUUCCUUUAAAUGUUUUGAUGUUCAAUGAAUUCAAAGUUGAUUGCUUUGUUUUCCAUUUAGGGGACUGCAUACUAAAAUGUGUAUAAAUGCAAUGUAGGGCUGUAAGUCAGACUUUGUGACGGCAGCGCCUGGACUGAAGAUUUGAAGAUUUCAAAAUCCAAGUCUUAUGGUCUUCGCCAAAAAGAUGAACUGCUAGACAUUUUUGAAUCGAGACGAAAUGACGAGUGAUUUGGAAGAAAAAUGUUUGCAACACAUCAAUUCCAGAGGUGCACCUUCAGUUUGCAAGACCACAAUAGACAAACAAUGGAAAAUGCUCUAGAGUGCUGUGACAGAUUAAACUGACACCCUUGAUGAGGACACAGUCAAAGCUUUAAAAGACCGUGUGAUAAAGCAGUCUUCAAUUACAACAGUGUCUGAAUUGCAAGAAGAAGUGACCCUCCACUUCAACAUGUGACAUCUAAACUGUUUUGUGUUCUGGUUCAGCUAUUUACAGGUUUAUCUUAAGUUGGUUGAAUUGCAUAUUUUUUCAGUAACUUUUUAUGCAGAGAAUUACAUUAAGAUUAUUAUAUAAUCAUUGCUUAUGAAUAUUCAGUGAUUGCAUAUUCAUAGUGUACUUUUCAUUAAUACAUUUAAUGUUAAUGUUGUACAAUUUGAUAAAAGUAGCUCUGUAAUUGCAUUUCUCUGAUAUUUGUUUUAAAUUGUUUCUCUCUGGUCAAGAGAUUAUGUAUGUCUCUGGGCUUAAUUCAUUUACUUGAGAUAUUUUUGUAAUGUACACAACACAAUAUGAAGU